rnacentral:rRNA from 1 species
CCUACGGGUGGCAGCAGUUAGGAAUCUUGCGCAAUGGGGGAAACCCUGACGCAGCGACGCCGCGUGUGGGAUGAAGGCCUUCGGGUUGUAAACCACUUUCAGGAGGGACGCGGUACCUCCAGAAGAAGGCCCGGCCAACUACGUGCCAGCAGCCGCGGUAAUACGUAGGGGCCUAGCGUUGUCCGGAUUUAUUGGGCGUAAAGAGCUCGUAGGCGGUUCGGCAAGUCGGAUGUGAAAUCUCCACGCUCAACGUGGAGGGGCCAUUCGAAACUGCUGGACUUGAGUCCGGUAGGGGGGUGUGGAAUUCCCGGUGUAGCGGUGAAAUGCGCAGAUAUCGGGAGGAACACCAGUAGCGAAGGCGGCACCCUGGGCCGGACUGACGCUGAGGAGCGAAAGCGUGGGGAGCAAACAGGAUUAGAUACCCUUGUAGUC